AUACUUAAAUAUCUAUUGCUCGCCCUAUUAAAGUGGGCGCUAAAGAGCAACACAAUGUGGAGUACAUUGAAUGGCCCGUAUCGCUGGUGUCAACAUACCCGAU
rfam:Gamma proteobacterium IMCC1989 ctg_3, whole genome shotgun sequence.